AUACCUUCGAUAUUAAUUAAUCAUCUCUUAAUUAUUUCGAGUAUACCCCAUAAUAUACUAACGAAGGUGAAAUUUUGACUCCCUUUAGUAGUGGCCUGUACGCAUUGCGUAUAGGCCUAUAUU
rnacentral:sRNA from 23 species